UUGCACGAUUUUUCGGCUUUAUCGGAAUGUUUUUUCAAAGGCAAAAGCAAACACGCAAUACACACGCAUCCGAAUUCACCACUAACAAAAUUAAAAUACCGGCUUACAUCGAAUUUAUAGUAGAAUUGAACAUUUGGAUAAGAGUAUUUUUUUUACUUUCGAACAAUUGUGGAAUUCUUUUUUCGAGUGCUCGGACAACCGGAAUAUUCGUUCGAAAAAAAAAACGCUAGAGGUAGGUAUUAUAUAUCAACAAUGACGAUAACGGGAAUGUGGUA